CCUACGGGUGGCAGCAGUAGGGAAUAUUCCACAAUGAGCGAAAGCCUGAUGGAGCGACACCGCGUGCACGAUGAAGGUCUUCGGAUUGUAAAGCUCUGUCAUCAGGGAAGAACAUUUGCAUUAGUAAAUGAUUGCAGACUGACGGUACCUUGUCAGAAAGCGCUGGCUAACUAUGUGCCAGCAGCCGCGGUAAUACAUAGGUGGCAAGCGUUAUCGGGAUUUAUUGGGGGAAAAGCGGUCGUAGUCUGUUUGUUAAGUCUGGGUGUAAAUCCCGGGCCUAAACCCCGACUCGCUUUGGAUACUAGCAAACUAGAGUGAGAGAGAGGUAAGCGGAAUUCCAUGUGUAGCGGUGAAAUGCGUAGAUAUAUGGAGGAACACCAGAGGCGAAGGCGGCUUACUGGGUCUAAACUGACGCUGAGGGGCGAAAGCGUGGGGAGCAAACAGGAUUAGAUACCCCUGUAGUC
rnacentral:rRNA from 1 species